AUGAACGCUAGCGGCAGGCCUAAUACAUGCAAGUCGAACGGUAGAUCGGGUAGCAAUACUUGAUUGAGAGUGACGUAAGGGUGCGUAACACGUAUGCAAUCUACCCUCAACAGGAGUAUAGCUCGGGGAAACUCGGAUUAACACUCCAUAACAUUACGAUGUGGCAUCACAUUGUGAUUAAAACUCCGGUGGUUGAGGAUGAGCAUGCGUCUGAUUAGUUAGUUGGAGGUGUAACGGACCCCCAAGACGAUGAUCAGUAGGGGAACUGAGAGGUUGAUCCCCCACACUGGCACUGAGAUACGGGCCAGACUCCUACGGGAGGCAGCAGUAGGGAAUAUUGGUCAAUGGGUGAGAGCCUGAACCAGCCAUGCCGCGUGCAGGAAGACGGCCUUCUGGGUUGUAAACUCCUUUUAUAUGGGAAGAAACCUCUGGAUUCACUCCAGAGCUGACGGUAUCAUAUGAAUAAGCACCGGCUAACUACGUG
rnacentral:rRNA from 1 species